UUGGUCUUCUUUUGAAUUUUUUAUUUUUUUUCUCUUGAGACUGGGUUUUUUACUUGUCUCCUUCCUUUUCUCGAGAUUUUCAAAAUUUUUUUCUUUUUCUCAUUUUUUUCAAGAUUCUACAUACACAUCAAACUAAACAAGGUAGACUAUCUAAUCAUGCAUUCUUUAAACUUUAACAACUCUGACGGCUAGACUCGACCGAGUUACAGCCACUAAUGUACACAUGAUCAAAUGAAGGUUUAAAAGAAAGGGGAUAUG
rnacentral:lncRNA from 1 species